rnacentral:rRNA from 1 species
UACGUAGGGUGCAAGCGUUGUCCGGAAUUAUUGGGCGUAAAGAGCUCGUAGGCGGUUUGUCGCGUCUGCUGUGAAAACUCGGGGCUUAACUCCGGGCCUGCAGUGGGUACGGGCAGACUAGAGUGCGGUAGGGGAGACUGGAAUUCCUGGUGUAGCGGUGAAAAUGCGCAGAUAUCAGGAGGAACACCGGUGGCGAAGGCGGGUCUCUGGGCCGUAACUGACGCUGAGGAGCGAAAGCGUGGGGAGCGAACAGG